GUUUCUGCUGCCCAUUCUUCUUCUCCAUUUUUGAAAGCCUCGCCGGAGCUCACAAGCAUAUGUUCAUACAUGUCUCAGCGUAGCUCCACACCACACCGCCAACCAGUUGCCCCCGCUCCCUCUCAUACGCUGCCCCAAACGCAACGCAAGCUACAUAAUCUGGCAUGUCUCAGGAAAGGAAGAAAACCCAGGGAGUCAUUUCUACAAGUGUGAACUCCAUGGAAGCAUGAAGGAUGCAAUUUCUGGAAGUGGGAGAACAAGUACAUAUAGUACUUCAGUUCGGGGCCAUCUGAUUUCGCAUGCAUCGGUCCAUAGCCACGUCCCGCUUCUCGAACAGAAUCAAACAUUGGUGAAGAACAUUUUCAUCCUAGGCCUUGUGAACCUGCUGGCCAUGGCCAUCAUCUUCAUGCAGAAACUCUGAAGCUUAGGGCCUCUGCGAAGGGAGUGCGGCAGAUUUCAUACGUAUUUCUUUUACUUUUGCAUGUUUUGCAUGCAUGUAUCUGUUAGUAUGUGUUGCUUUUUCAUAUGGGCAGACAGUUGGCUUAUCAAUAAUACAUCUCCAACGGUUGUGUGAA